rnacentral:tRNA from 1 species
GGCGCGGUGCCCAAGUGGUUAAGGGAGCGGUUUGCAAAACCGUCAUGCGUGGGUUCGACUCCCACCCGCGCCUCAA